CAGCAUCAGACGCAGCAUCUCACAGUGACUGGUGCCAGGCCCGCAGCCCAGCACUCCACCUGUGCAAGCUCCUCUACGACAGCAUCGCUGUGAGGUGGCCACAGCCAGACUCACUGGGAGUGAGAACAUGAGGCUCCAAAGGGACAGGGACAGAAAUGUCUCAGACCUAGAGCUGUCUGCUGACCCCUGAAGAAGUCCCCUAAAUGGCAGCCCAUCCACCAAGGAGACAGGCUGAUUUCCAGGUAACUACAAUCAGCCCUGCACAGCCCUCCUGCAUUACUCACCGCGACCAGAGAGGGCGCUAAAGGAACUGGCCCUGAGGAGAGAAGCGGAUUCCCCCGCCAGCCGGAAGUCCGCGGUGGGCGUGUCAGGGGG
rnacentral:lncRNA from 1 species